UUUUUUAGUUUUUCUGUAGCCAAAAUAUUUUAUACAUAUUUUCUGAGAACUUAGUCUUCAUAUUUUCAAAACUAAGGCAUAUCAGCCACAUCUUUGUCACACACAGGCAGGACACAGAUCACUAAUGAUUUCCCCAUUGACUUUAAUAUUAAUUCUAGUCUCUUAGACCGGCUCUAACUUUUCCCAAAUUUUCGUUGAGCAGAACGCUUUCUGCCACAGAUGGAGCAACAUGUGGCAACGUCUUGAUCAAAAGCACGUACGAGGUUCACCAUGGAAAACUUGAGAUACACAAACUGGAAGUAAAGAUCAUUAAACAUGCAAUUUUCCGCCCCACAUUUCAACCUAACCAACCGCUCAACUCUUGUAUCCUUCCGCCUCAAAAUCAUGCAUAUUCACCAAAACCUGGCAGAAAAUGUAUUUUCAAACCCUUUUCUUCGAUUCUACACCAAAAGGUCAACAAAAAUCGCCAUGCGAAAGGGGGAAAACGGAAAGGGAGAGAAAGACUAAAAAUAACUUUCGCCCGGGUGACGGCGUAGAAAUAUUUGGUGAGCUGCGUCCAUUUGUUUACAAGUACAGAAAGUAGUGAGCUGAACUCAUGACCUUUGACGUUUAGAUAACGUCAUAUGUGGAUAUCGUGGCUAUGCACUGUGUCAGAUUCACUUCCCUACAGGUAGAGUGGAUCUGUCGUUCAGAUUGGUGUGUUACGUUUCGGGGAUUUUGUCUAUGUGCGUUCAGUUUGAUAGUUUUGAUAUUGGUUGAAUCUUCUUCAAUUUGAUAUAAUCUAGUGCAGUUGUUUUAGUAAAGUUCCAGCAUAGAGUUUACAGACAUUGUAAGGUAUUUCACCUUUUGACAAGUCUGGUUAGCCAGGAAACCCCUUUUCAGGGUAAGACGUUAUAUUUUAAAAGGGGUUUUUUUUACUGGAUAUUUAAUAAACUGUUAUUACACUGAACCCUUGUGUGGUUGUGUUAUUCGUAACUAGACCCCCUACAACAUUUGGAGCCCGAUAAGGGACUCGACAGUUGAAACCUAACAAGGUGUACAACGUUUGGAGUCCGGUAAUGGUUAAUGGUAAACAGAAAAAAACAGUACUGGUGUGAAUUGAUCAAACAUAACAGUGAGCUCACACGCGUGCGCGUUCGCGAGAUCUUCAAGUUGAAUAGACAGUGGCAGUGCAGUGACAUUAACUUUAUUGUGUUGUGUAUUAAUUUCUGUGUUGUUUUAUAUGUGGACUAUUAUAAGGAUAUCUAUAUA